GACCACCAGAGGAGAAGGAGGCACACUGCCAGCUCCUGAGGAGGGACAGCCAAGCCGGGAUGAACCCGGCGUCCCAAACAGAGGACUCGAUAGGAGGGGAUGGACUGGAGGACCCCCAAACCCCCCCCGGAGUGGAGAACACGACAUUGAGGCUUCUUGAACCAAGGGCACAGACUGCUUGACCAGUGAGCCGUGUGAUAAAGCACAAACAGUGCAGGAAAUGAAAACCCUAGGAGCAGCAGAUGAUGUGGGCAGGAGGCACAGUGGAAAGCAAAGAGGUGAAACCCUCAGUGUCUCCACUCGGGCCUUGCUUAAUGGGAUUACGUGGAAAGAUUGAGCAAUGGCCAUUCAAAUUCAAUGUGCAUGAAUGCUUGGUUUCUAACUGAUUAACGAUGACGUAUAAGCCUGGAAUACUCUGGGAGAUCACUAACAGUUGAGUCAUAGUUCCACUAUGUCUAUGGAGCUAUUCUUUGGGACGAGCACAUACAGUACAGUAUAGUACCGCAUUUUAAUCCAUAUUUACACCAAAACAGCUUGCUUGCCCACUUCACCUUAUAUUUCAUUUGAGUUUGGCACGUAAUCCCUUGGCUCAAAGCCAGUUCUCAGUUAAAUCCCCUGCAGCCCAGUUUACCUGCGGGCUGACUUUGGCCCAGUGUUUAAUUUCCCGUUUGGUAAAAGUAUCUGGCCAGUCAUUCUAGCACUGAAUUUGGUCUCUCACCUGACACUUUCACUUAUCCCUGUCACUUCCAUUUAUUCAUUUGCACCUUUGUGGCGUUCUGAUCUGGUUCCUGUGGGUUGCCAGGCAACCAUAACUGUAUUUUGCUGGGUUCUGCGGUACACCCUGCGGUACAACUGCUGUGCAGAGUUAGGUAAUAACUGAUGUUCAACUGUAUCUUUUAUUUUUAUCAAUGCCCACAAAUUGGAUGUUUCUAAGGAAAUAGUGUUUGAAUUUUGAAGGAUGCAAACUUUCCAGAUACAUAAUCAAUAUCGAGGGAGGGUGGAUCAGGAAUAAAGCAGGGUGGAAAACAGUGAAAUAAAGAUGUUUUACUGUGUGUCUUGCACCCCUGAGAACACCUUUGGGAUGUGACAUGGCUCUUCUGAGGCAUCACUCUAAUGAUGUGGUAUCAUGUUCCACAGUUUAGACAUGUCUGGUCAGGCUGUUAGCAAGCAUCAGUGGUAUGCAGAAAUAGUGGUUGGCUGAUUAACUUUAUUUUAUUUAACCUUACAUCUAGACACAAAGAGGGUAUUUUUUUUUGCGUGUAUUCUUUAUAGCUUGGUGAUAUGGGAGCUGGGGGCUACUGCUGGUGUAUCCAUUAGAGUUAUAUACUACUUUAGUUGAAUCUAGACAGAUGGCAGAGAAAACAUAUAUGAGAGUCUGGAAAAAUCACACUAAAAAUAUAGAGAAGGAAAGAAAAUUUACAAUUGCAGUGAAUGGAUAUAUGUGUAGAACCUAGCAGGAUAAAUCUCACACAAGGGAAUUCAUUUACAUACUAUUAAAGUUGACAUGUUAAUAUCAAAGCAUUAAAAUAUGUAAAUAGCAUAAGCCUGCACCAAAUCCUAAUUACUGCUUUACAUUAUCAACUCCUUUACUCUUUAUGAUAUUUUAUGACUGUUCAGCUGUGUCAGCGAACAAUUAUGAGACCCUCCUACAAUUUGAUAAUUUCUUUUUCUUUCUUUUUCUUUUUCUUUCCUUCCAUUCCUCUAGUUUGGAAAUAAUGAGAAGAUGCACAUUGGUGAAUGCCCUUUUUGCAUGAACAACAUAUGCUCUGGGUUCCUGGUGUUUCUCUUGUCUUUCUUUUAUCCUGCUUAUCACAAAGGCAGAUUUAUAUGCAGGCUAAUGAGAACUGACAUUUCCUAUACUAUCUGCUACAGUUACAGCACAGAUUUAAUGUUUCACAGGUGUUAUAUCAUUACAAAAUAAGCUAGAGGCAUAUAAGCAUUGAGGAAAAACUUAACUAUUAUUAUGAUAGAAAAAGAUGCUUCAUUUUAUGAAAGAUUGUACCUUUUGAGUCAUAAUGUCUUUAUGGCAGGGAAGAAAUUUAUCAUAAAAUCUGUACUGCCAAUCUGGAAUAAGACUUUGUUUUUUCCCCCCUCCCAAUAAUUUAAAGCAUUUAUUGAAAUCAAAAAGUGGUGAUGUGACGUUUCUUGAUUUUAGUAAAAAUGUCUGAAAUUUGAUCAUGUUUUAUUCAUUUCAAAUAGUUGCUUUAAAUUAA